rnacentral:rRNA from 1 species
CAGGUGGUUCGUCGUUUCGACCGUCUUCACCCGAGUGUGUGCGGUCGGCGACGUCCUCCGUUGGAUCGGUGCGGUUCCUGCGCUGGAUGCUGGUCGUCGGCAGCGAGUAUGUCGGUCACCCACCCGACCCNNNNNNNNNNNNNNNCCAAGGAGUCUAACAUGUGCGCGAGUCAUUGGGUCUUGCUCAGGCCCAAAGGCGCAAUGAAAGUGAAGGCCGGCUCGGUCGGCUGCGUUGGGAUCCCGCCCUUCGUAGGNGGGCGCACCAACGGCCCGUCCCAGUCGCUGCGUCGACGGGGCGGAGUGAGAGCGUACACGUUGGGACCCGAAAGAUGGUGAACUAUGCCUGGGCAGGACGAAGCCAGAGGAAACUCUGGUGGAGGUCCGCAGCGAUUCUGACGUGCAAAUCGAUCGUCAGACCUGGGUAUAGGGGCGAAAGACUAAUCGAACCAUCUAGUAGCUGGUUCCCUCCGAAGUUUCCCUCAGGAUAGCUGGCGCUCGGAGGAAGCAUUCUCAUCCGGUAAAGCGAAUGAUUAGAGGCCUUGGGGCCGAAACGACCUCAACCUAUUCUCAAACUUUAAAUGGGUGAGAAGUCCGGCUUGCUCGACUGAAGCCCGGACGUGAGGAUGCGAGUGCCCAGUGGGCCACUUUUGGUAAGCA